rnacentral:lncRNA from 1 species
GUAUAAUAGGAUUCCAUUUUCUGUAAAAAACAAUUUAAAACAGUUUAGUUUCCCCGCCCCCAACAUAUAAUGGAUUAGAGGCUUUUAGCAUGCUUCAGCCACUUGGAAAUAACAAAACAGUGCAUAAAAAUCAAUUCUGUGAGCUUUAAUUCAACAAGGAAAAUGAGAAUCCACCAGAAUCACGAAGGACACCCCAGAUCCUGGGGAGAACACCGGCAAAGAGUACCCAUGAUGGCAUCUGACUGUUAAAAGUGAGUGAAGCCCUCGGAAGUGAGAGAGGAAGACAGCCUCCCUCUCUGCUGAACCUUUCCAGUAGUAAUCCGAGCAACCCUGGACGAACGAGAGGAUUGUGUUUCUCCCAAGACCUGGAACUAAUGGGGAGAGGCUUGGACAUGCUGUGAGGAAAAGAUACUGGGAAAAGCUGCAGACAUCUACCGUAGACACAGGACGAAAAGCAGGACGCCAUUUUUAAUCCAGUUUCAACUUAUGGCCCAAGAAAAUAGAAGUCAGAAUCAAAAUCCAGCAUGCAGAACUUGUUGUAAAACAUGGCAGUACAGACUCUCAAAAAGUACCAGAAGUAACUCAUGAGUAAGUUACUCAACCAGGAAAAGCACAUAGAACAGCAUAGAGAUUGCCUUAAGGAAGAAGCUACUGCUGCUGCCAUUCUGCAUUGGGAAGCUCAUCAAACACAUCAUGGGUAUUAUAGGACUUGCUACAUUGGUCUUUGCUAGCUUCAAUGCCUGGAAUGCAAACUUCGGGUCCCUUGUUAGUAGAAAGAUGCACAGAUGCGGCUCUGUUGACUCAGUUGUUUAAAUACAUAUUGUCAAACAAAAUAUUUGCAGCACUGAUGCCAAGUUCCUCCUGACAUUCACAAUAAUAUUGAAUUUGACUCAACCAAACAAGUGUGACAAUAUGUGGAAUAAAAUUUCAUCUAGGUUUUAUCUGGUUUCAAACUCUCUUAGAUUUAACACUCUUUUGUGGUUUUCAAUUUGAAACAGAAUUUGGCUAAGUUUUGGUGAUUGAAGCUGUAGAGCCAUUAAAUUAAAAAGGUAUGCUACUACUAUUUAAAGCGUCGUUUAGCUUAAUGCUAAAUUGUCCUCAAAAUUGUUCCAGUUUAAGCCUGCAAAAAGCUUUACAAUAUGAUCAUUUUCUGGAGAUCAUUUUUCUUGAAGGUUGAAACUAAAUUACUAUGAAAAUAUUUUCAGUAUUAUUUAAAUAAAAACUUUAGAACCUCAUGGAAUGUGUGCAAGUAAUUCCUGUAUCUUUUCAUUACAAUAACAACACUUUAACAGAAGUAGAAUUUUUUUUAACGAAGUGACUUUUCUUUUUUCUUUUUCUUUUUUAUUUUUCUUUCUUUCUUUUUUUUUUUUUUUUUGAGAUAGGGUCUUACUCUGUUGCCCAGGCUGGAGUGCAGUGACGCCAUCUUGGUUCACUGGAACUUCUGCCUGUUAGACUCAAGCAAUCCUCACACCUCAGUCUCCUGAGUAGCUGGGACUACAGGCAUCUGCCACUAUGCCCGGCUAAUUUUUUGUAUUUCUGUUAGAGAUGGGGUUUCACCGUGUUGCCCGGGCUGGUCUCAAACUCCUGGGCUCAAGCAAUCCACCUGCCUCAGCCUCCCAAUGUGCUGGGAUUACAGGAGUGAGUCACGACGCACAGCCAACAAAGUGAUUUUUAUCUGAAAGUAAUUGCUUUAGGUAAGCACACACAAAAACAUACUUAGAAAAAAUAAUGAGAUGCUAAUAAAACCUAUUUUCCCCUACUUGUAUAUAUUUUCGUUACAGCAUUUAAAGAAGAAUGUAUCACAAUCUGUUGUACACAGAUAUCACUCCAAUUUGGACUCUGAAUGCUUUGAUUAUGCCUGUCUUUAUAUUUGUGCUUUCUAGUACCUAGUAAUAUAUCUCAUAAUUAGUGGGGGUUUUACAAAUAUGAAAAGAAGAAAGUCAUGGAAGAAAAUGGAAUGGAAGAGGAGCAUAAAGGAGAAAUGCAAGGAAGCAACCCAGGAACAAAUACAUGUUUUAAUAUUUUCUCCCAUUCACCAUAUAGAGAGUUAAGUACACUAACUGUGUCAUGGCAAACACUAAUACCACUAUGUUAUUAUGGUAUUGUAAAUUAACAACUGUUUUUUUCAAAAGGUGUAAACCUGUGACACGUAUUUCCAUAUUUAUACAUUCGAAGUGAACCUAAGACUUGAUAUAUAAAUGCACUUUGAUUUUGGGGGCCCAGGGGGUACUGGGCAGCCUGUAAUCAUUGGCUUAAUUAUAGCCUAAAGAAAGUGAUUAGAGUGAUAAGAAAGUAGAAAACAUAUGGAGAAGCAGGGCAUUUAAAUAGAGAUAAGAAAUAAAAGUGGAACAUGAUCAUGGUUCUCUGUGUGACAUGGAGGGAAUAAAAUUAAAAAUACAUCAGCUCAAAAAGUAACUAUGUCACCAUCUUGUUCUAUGAACUUGGGUAUAUUACUUAAUUUUCUAAAUGGCUUUUUCUUCUUAUAUAAAAUGUUGUUACUAACACAAUCUUCAAAGUGUUCUGAGAGCUAAGUUAAAAAGCAAGUAAACAACUGCUGAUUAACAUUUUAUGUAAGAACUGACAAUUUUAAGAUAUUUUUCUUUAUACACCUGACCUUAUCUCAAUCAAUUUAGACUUAAUGAUCUCUAUGAUUUUGGGGUAGAAUGCCGGAGAACAAAAAGAAAAAAAAUGUUUAAACUUUAAACAGAUACAUCCUUAGGAACACUAAAGAAAAAUAAUAGGCUUCACCCCUAGAUUAUUUAAUUAAUAUUCAUUUAUUACCACCUACUAC